AUCUUCGGACGUAACUUCAUUA
rnacentral:siRNA from 1 species